UACGGAGGGUGCAAGCGUUAAUCGGAAUUACUGGGCGUAAAGCGCGCGUAGGCGGCUGAGUAAGUCGAUUGUGAAAUCCCCGGGCUUAACCUGGGAACUGCGUUUGAAACUGAGGGGCUAGAGUGUGGAAGAGGGGGGUGGAAUUCCAGGUGUAGCAGUGAAAUGCGUAGAGAUCUGGAGGAACACCGAUGGCGAAGGCAGCCCCCCUGGGCUAACACUGACGCUCAUGCACGAAAGCGUGGGGAGCGAACAGG
rnacentral:rRNA from 1 species